rnacentral:rRNA from 1 species
UACAGAGGGUGCGAGCGUUGUUCGGAAUUACUGGGCGUAAAGCGCACGUAGGCGGAUUUGUAAGUCAGGGGUGAAAUCCCGGGGCUCAACCUCGGAACUGCCUUUGAUACUCAAGUCUCGAGUCCGAUAGAGGUGAGUGGAAUUCCUAGUGUAGAGGUGAAAUGCGCAGAUAUCAGGAAGAACACCCGUGGCGAAAGGCGGCUCUCUGGUACGUGACUGACGCUGAGACGCGAAAGCGUGGGGAGCAAACAGG